rnacentral:misc_RNA from 1 species
GGAAAUUCUAUUCGGAUUUCUCCGAUUGCGCCGCAGUUGUAUAAAGUUUCAAUCCAUUUCCUAGUUCUGCUCUUAAUACAUCCCUUCAAUGGCUGACUCUACCUUACCUUCUCCAAGAAGAGAUUCAAUCAAGUCUUCGGUUGGGAAUGUUGCGGCUCAUCGAAGACGACAGCAUGCGGUUGCAGUGGGAAAGGAAAGAAGAGACUUGUUGGUGCGCGCAAAGCGCUUCUGCAGAAUUGGGAUUGGUGAUGACGCUGCUGUCGACAAUGAAAUGAUAAUGGACGAAGAGUUGUCAAUUUUGGAAGUUCAAACUUCUUCAGCAGUGGACGAGCUCAAAUCCGCAGUUGCAUACCAGGGAAAAGGUGCAAUGCAGAAGAGAAUUCAUGCCCUUCGAGAACUAAGACGCUUAUUAUCACGAUCAGAAUUCCCUC